GUGGGGAAUCUUGCGCAAUGGGCGAAAGCCUGACGCAGCCAUGCCGCGUGAAUGAUGAAGGUCUUAGGAUUGUAAAAUUCUUUCACCGGGGACGAUAAUGACGGUACCCGGAGAAGAAGCCCCGGCUAACUUCGUGCCAGCAGCCGCGGUAAUACGAAGGGGGCUAGCGUUGCUCGGAAUUACUGGGCGUAAAGGGCGCGUAGGCGGACAGUUUAGUCAGAGGUGAAAGCUCAGGGCUCAACCUUGGAAUUGCCUUUGAUACUGGCUGUCUUGAGUACGGGAGAGGUGAGUGGAACUCCGAGUGUAGAGGUGAAAUUCGUAGAUAUUCGGAAGAACACCAGUGGCGAAGGCGACUCACUGGCCCGUUACUGACGCUGAGGCGCGAAAGCGUGGGGAGCAAACAGGAUUAGAUACCCGUGUAGUCC
rnacentral:rRNA from 1 species